rnacentral:misc_RNA from 1 species
AACAAGGCGUACCUGCGGACCUGCGGAAGGAUCAUUAACAAAAUCCAUCAUACGAUGACCCUACCUUGUGUGCACCUGUAAAAUAACUGCCCUUUAGAGUAAAGAGUUGGAGGUGGUAGUGACCCUUAAAUGGUGUUGCGACGGCUCGCCAACCUUUUUCUAAAGGGUUUUUUAUAAACGUCUUUUGAACAAAUAGAAAUUUUAAACCACAACAAAUACAACUUUUAGCAAUGGAUCUCA